rnacentral:rRNA from 1 species
GACCUCGGAUCAGGUANGGAUACCCGCUGAACUUAA